rnacentral:rRNA from 1 species
GACGAACCGUGCGAACGUUAUUCGGAAUCACUGGGCUUAAAGCGCGUGUAGGCGGGGCGGCACGUCGGCCGCUGAAAUCCCCCGGCUCAACCGGGGAAGCGGCGCCGAUACGACCGCCCUGGAGGGGCGUAGGGGGAGCUGGAACUUCCGGGGGAGCGGUGAAAUGCGUUGAGAUCGGAAGGAACGCCCGUGGCGAAAGCGAGCUCCUGGACGCCUGCUGACGCUGAGACGCGAAAGCCAGGGGAGCGAACGGG